ACUCGAGUGGCGAACGGGUGAGUAACACGUGGGUGAUCUGCCCUGCACUUCGGGAUAAGCUUGGGAAACUGGGUCUAAUACCGGAUAGGAGCCGUCUUUAGUGUGGUGGUUGGAAAGUUUUUCGGUGUAGGAUGAGCUCGCGGCCUAUCAGCUUGUUGGUGGGGUAAUGGCCUACCAAGGCGGCGACGGGUAGCCGGCCUGAGAGGGUGUACGGCCACAUUGGGACUGAGAUACGGCCCAG
rnacentral:rRNA from 1 species